UCUCUUGUGCUCGGGCACGUACUAUCGCCAGUGAGGUCUUUACCGAGGCAUAGUCUUUUGCUGAUUGCAAAUUACACAUCCGAACCCGUCUGUUAGCUUCGGCUUCCAGCAAUUUUUGGACACCCCAUUC
rfam:Moniliophthora roreri MCA 2997 sctg_0038_0006, whole genome shotgun sequence.